rnacentral:rRNA from 1 species
CCCUUAGAUGUUCUGGGCUGCACGCGUGCUACAAUGAAGCGUCCAACAAGAUGCGAAGCCGAAAGGCUCAGCGGAUCUUUGAAGUCGUUUCGUGACCGGGACAGUUGAUUGCAAUUAUUCGACUCGAACGAGGAAUUCCUUGUAAUCGCGAUUCAUCAUAUCGCGCUGAAUACGUCCCUGCCCUUUGUACACACCGCCCGUCGCAGCUACUGAUUGAAUAUAUCGGUGAAAUAUUGGGACCGUGAUGAACGAAGCUUCAUUGCUUCUAUCAUUAUGGGAACUUUCUUAAACCUAUCUAUUUAGAAGAAGCUGAAGUCGUAACA